rnacentral:rRNA from 1 species
GCCUAUGACCAAAUCACUAUAAUUAUGCCCAAUCCCGUCAGAUCUUAACAGCUAAGCGGCAUUGGAUUUGUUAGUACUUGGGCGGGUGACCACCAGGGCUUGCCAGGUGCUGUAGGUG